UCUAUUGCAAUAUGGUUUAUAUUGGAUAUCUCUCAAUUCUCUCCAUCAUGGUUUCAUAGAAGCCAUUUAUUUCCUUCUUGAAAAAAAUUCAUUUAAGCUUGCAAUAUGGUUUGGAUUGGAUAUCUCUCCAUCAUGAAUUUAGUAAAUUGUUUUGCCUUUGCUUCUUUUCUCUUAAUGCUUUUAAGCUUGCAUGCCCUUUGUUUUUAUAUUGUGUUGUACAUGCUUCUUUUAUAAUGAAGUUUGUUUGUUAUCAAGAAGGAAAAAAUAAAAGCCUAUGAGCAAAGAGGAACCAAUGACUGAAUCAUGUUGCAUACAUAUUGUUGAAUUUAAUUCUAACAUGGUAGAUGUAUUAUUUGAAGAAAGUAUCUAGUGUGACCUACUGGUUCUAUGGCAAUAAGUUGCCAGCUUGAUAUGUGGAGCUGUACUCUUAGAAUACAGAUAUUACGAUCAAGAUAAAUUGAUGUAAUAAGUUGCAGAUACCAGUGAGAAAGUGGAACAGAGGUUAAUUACAACAAAAACUGCAUAUGUCAAAUAUAUCACAUUUCUGUUCUAAAAUCACAAGGGUAUGUUCAAGGCAGUUCCAAUGGUUGACGAAAAUAUUGAGUCAUGUUUUAGUAGUUGAUGAAUGUUGUGCUCAUCUGCCCUUGGAUUUGAAUUUAAAGGUGGAGAAUAAUGAGGCAAAUAAACACAUUGUGCGUCUUCAAGAACUCAAGUUUCCUUGCAGUGCAGAACGUGUUUAUUAUUAUAAUAUUUAGAUAGAAGUCCAGGUUUUAUAUUAUCCAGUUUGGUUUGAGCAUAGUGCACCAGUCUUUUCUGCGUUAUUUUUUUUUGUUGGAUAGCAAGAUAUAUACAGGUGCAACUAACUGGUGUGGGCACGUUAGCUAGAACACCACCAUUGACUUUGUGUCUACUUAAUUUAUAUGCCUGGCCUAUGUUUAUGUCAAGUUGCAGACUUGCAGAUGUUGAUGUAGUAAAAAAUAAAAGAUAUCUGGCUGUGCUUGAUUUAUAAUAAAAGAAAAUGGCUUUGCAGUAGUUGAUUUAUUAAAUAAAGACUUGAAGUAGUACAUAAUGUGUGUGUGUGUGAGAGAGUGAGAGAGAGAGAGAGAGAGAGAGAGAGAGAGAGAGAGAGAGAGAAAUAGCAGCAGCAGAGGAAACCAGUAAGUCAUCUGAAGCUUUUCGAAUGAAAGGUGGAGAUGGACCCAACAGCUAUGCCAAAAACUCCAUACAUCAGGGGUGAGAUCUGUAUACUAAGGAAAAGGUGUUGGAGGAGGGUUCUUGAGCUCAUGCUUAAUUGCUGGCUGAGGAUAUACCCCUCAAGCAGAUGGAUGGAAAAGGAAGGGAAGAGUAGUAAAAGUAGAGUCAAAGUUUGUGCUUCAUAUUUGCUAGCUAUACAUUAGUACCUCACGCACAAACAUAUGAGCAUGUAUUUUAGCCCUGGAGAGGCAGUAAUUGUUGCUCAAGAAGUUAUCAAUACAAUGGCUGCGAAGGGAUAUGAUCUGGGACAAGAUGCAUUAAUAAAGGCCAAAAGCUUCUGAUGAGUCCUACCAAGUAUCAGCUACUACAGCAGCCAAGGUUUACAGUUACUUCAUAAAACUAUAUUUUUCUCUUUACAGAUGGGAGAGUUAUCAAGCUAACACCUCCAUUGAUCUGAGCAAGCACCAUAUGCCCAUAAUGUAGUUGAGAUAGAGAAAAAAAAGCUUUCCAAUCACCAAGUUUGUAUUUCAAUUUAUAUUUUUCAUAUCAUACAUGAGCUUUUUGUAUUUUAGAAUUUUGAACAUUGCUCAGAUGUAUGACCUUCAUUUCUUUAAAACUUAAUUAUCUUGUAAACUUUCGUAUAACCUUCAUUUCUUUUGUAACAUUCAUGAAUGUAUCAUUCCCUUUUGU